rnacentral:tRNA from 1 species
GCGCUCGUGGUGAAACUGGUAGACACGCAGGAUUUAGGUUCCUGUGCCUCCGGGUGUGCGGGUUCGAGUCCCGCCGAGCGCACCA